ACUAAGCGUACACGGUGGAUGCCCUGGCAGUCAGAGGCGAUGAAGGACGUGCUAAUCUGCGAAAAGCGUCGGUAAGGUGAUAUGAACCGUUAUAACCGGCGAUGUCCGAAUGGGGAAACCCAGUGCAAUUCGUUGCACUAUCGUUAACUGAAUACAUAGGUUAACGAGGCGAACCGGGGGAACUGAAACAUCUAAGUACCCCGAGGAAAAGAAAUCAACCGAGAUUCCCCCAGUAGCGGCGAGCGAACGGGGAGCAGCCCAGAGUCUGAAUCAGCUUGUGUGUUAGUGGAACGGUCUGGAAAGUCCGACGGUACAGGGUGAUAGUCCCGUACACCAAAAUGCACAGGUUGUGAACUCGAAGAGUAGGGCGGGACACGUGGUAUCCUGUCUGAAUAUGGGGGGACCAUCCUCCAAGGCUAAAUACUCCUGACUGACCGAUAGUGAACCAGUACCGUGAGGGAAAGGCGAAAAGAACCCCGGCGAGGGGAGUGAAAAAGAACCUGAAACCGUGUACGUACAAGCAGUGGGAGCACCUUCGGGUGUGACUGCGUACCUUUUGUAUAAUGGGUCAGCGACUUAUAUUCUGUAGCAAGGUUAACCGUAUAGGGGAGCCGCAGGGAAACCGAGUCUUAACUGGGCGUUAAGUUGCAGGGUAUAGACCCGAAACCCGGUGAUCUAGCCAUGGGCAGGUUGAAGGUUGGGUAACACUAACUGGAGGACCGAACCGACUAAUGUUGAAAAAUUAGCGGAUGACUUGUGGCUGGGGGUGAAAGGCCAAUCAAACCGGGAGAUAGCUGGUUCUCCCCGAAAGCUAUUUAGGUAGCGCCUCGUGAACUCAUCUUCGGGGGUAGAGCACUGUUUCGGCUAGGGGGUCAUCCCGACUUACCAACCCGAUGCAAACUACGAAUACCGAAGAAUGUUAUCACGGGAGACACACGGCGGGUGCUAACGUCCGUCGUGAAGAGGGAAACAACCCAGACCGCCAGCUAAGGUCCCAAAGUCAUGGUUAAGUGGGAAACGAUGUGGGAAGGCACAGACAGCCAGGAUGUUGGCUUAGAAGCAGCCAUCAUUUAAAGAAAGCGUAAUAGCUCACUGGUCGAGUCGGCCUGCGCGGAAGAUGUAACGGGGCUAAACCAUGCACCGAAGCUGCGGCAGCGACACUAUGUGUUGUUGGGUAGGGGAGCGUUCUGUAAGCCUGCGAAGGUGACCUGUGAGGGUUGCUGGAGGUAUCAGAAGUGCGAAUGCUGACAUAAGUAACGAUAAAGCGGGUGAAAAGCCCGCUCGCCGGAAGACCAAGGGUUCCUGUCCAACGUUAAUCGGGGCAGGGUGAGUCGACCCCUAAGGCGAGGCCGAAAGGCGUAGUCGAUGGGAAACAGGUUAAUAUUCCUGUACUUGGUGUUACUGCGAAGGGGGGACGGAGAAGGCUAUGUUAGCCGGGCGACGGUUGUCCCGGUUUAAGCAUGUAGGCUGGUUGUCCAGGCAAAUCCGGAUAAUCAAGGCUGAGGUGUGAUGACGAGGCACUACGGUGCUGAAGUAACAAAUGCCCUGCUUCCAGGAAAAGCCUCUAAGCAUCAGGUAACAUCAAAUCGUACCCCAAACCGACACAGGUGGUCAGGUAGAGAAUACCAAGGCGCUUGAGAGAACUCGGGUGAAGGAACUAGGCAAAAUGGUGCCGUAACUUCGGGAGAAGGCACGCUGGUGUGUAGGUGAAGCCCCUGCGGGUGGAGCUGAGACCAGUCGAAGAUACCAGCUGGCUGCAACUGUUUAUUAAAAACACAGCACUGUGCAAACACGAAAGUGGACGUAUACGGUGUGACGCCUGCCCGGUGCCGGAAGGUUAAUUGAUGGGGUUAUCCGUAAGGAGAAGCUCUUGAUCGAAGCCCCGGUAAACGGCGGCCGUAACUAUAACGGUCCUAAGGUAGCGAAAUUCCUUGUCGGGUAAGUUCCGACCUGCACGAAUGGCGUAAUGAUGGCCAGGCUGUCUCCACCCGAGACUCAGUGAAAUUGAACUCGCUGUGAAGAUGCAGUGUACCCGCGGCAAGACGGAAAGACCCCGUGAACCUUUACUAUAGCUUGACACUGAACAUUGAGCCUUGAUGUGUAGGAUAGGUGGGAGGCUUUGAAGCGUGGACGCCAGUCUGCGUGGAGCCAACCUUGAAAUACCACCCUUUAAUGUUUGAUGUUCUAACGUUGGCCCCUGACCGGGGUUGCGGACAGUGUCUGGUGGGUAGUUUGACUGGGGCGGUCUCCUCCCAAAGCGUAACGGAGGAGCACGAAGGUUAGCUAAUCCUGGUCGGACAUCAGGAGGUUAGUGCAAUGGCAUAAGCUAGCUUGACUGCGAGCGUGACGGCGCGAGCAGGUGCGAAAGCAGGUCAUAGUGAUCCGGUGGUUCUGAAUGGAAGGGCCAUCGCUCAACGGAUAAAAGGUACUCCGGGGAUAACAGGCUGAUACCGCCCAAGAGUUCAUAUCGACGGCGGUGUUUGGCACCUCGAUGUCGGCUCAUCACAUCCUGGGGCUGAAGUAGGUCCCAAGGGUAUGGCUGUUCGCCAUUUAAAGUGGUACGCGAGCUGGGUUUAGAACGUCGUGAGACAGUUCGGUCCCUAUCUGCCGUGGGCGCUGGAGAAUUGAGGGGGGCUGCUCCUAGUACGAGAGGACCGGAGUGGACGCAUCACUGGUGUUCGGGUUGUCAUGCCAAUGGCACUGCCCGGUAGCUAAAUGCGGAAGAGAUAAGUGCUGAAAGCAUCUAAGCACGAAACUUGCCCCGAGAUGAGUUCUCCCUGAGACUAUAAGUCUCCUGAAGGAACGUUAAAGACGAUGACGUUGAUAGGCCGGGUGUGUAAGCGCAGCGAUGCGUUGAGCUAACCGGUACUAAUGAACCGUGAGGCUUAACC
rnacentral:rRNA from 1 species